rnacentral:rRNA from 1 species
CCCUUAGAUGUUCUGGGCCGCACGCGCGCUACACUGAUGAAUGCAACGAGCUCUACCCUUGACCGAAAGGCCCGGGUAAACUUGUGAAACUUCAUCGUGAUGGGGAUAGAUUAUUGCAAUUAUUAAUCUUCAACGAGGAAUUCCUAGUAAGCGCGAGUCAUCAGCUCGCGUUGAUUACGUCCCUGCCCUUUGUACACACCGCCCGUCGCUCCUACCGAUUGAGUGGUCCGGUGAGGCUUUGGGAUCUGAGCAAAGAGAGCGUUUCGCUCGUUUUGCCCGGAAAACUCAGUCGAACCUUAUCAUUUAGAGGAAGGAGAAGUCGUAACA